CGAAGGUCUUACGGGUUUGGAAUGACAUGAGGGUGAGUAAUUAAUGACAGCAUGUUUUGGGUGAACGAACCCUUGAAGGAAGUUAACUGCAAAAACACUCCCUGAUUCUCUGUUUUUCUGGUUCCUUGGACCUUCCCAAGUUUAAUACUUUUACGUAAUAUUUACUAUUCAUAAAUACUAGAUAAAUAGCGGGUGAAACCUAGAUCACACCGUCCUUUUUGUUUUUGGGCAUUGGGGUUUCUCACCAGACUCGAUUCAGGUUCAUUUGUCCAGGUUAUCUUUUAUUUUUGUCUGCUGAUUAAGAGAUCUGUGAAAAUGGAACAAUUUGGACAGCGGUUAGUUGUACUGAGCUUGUGCUUGCUGGCUGCUGUGAUCAUCUCUGAACAAAAACUUCAAAACGAUCUUAGUCGUGAUGAUGACAUUUGCUCCAUGUACAUGCAGGGCACAUCCAGACGUCUGAACAUGUCAGAGGCCUUUGACAUGAUCACACUGGAGUAUGGGUGGGAUACCCAGACUGGGAAUAUUGCACAGAUGACUGAAUUGUUUCAGCGCUCAGAUCGGAAUAAAGACGGAUAUUUGAAUCCUCGUGAGUGCAUCCUAUUCAUCGGACGUGUCUUCAGAAUCAUUUGAUGAAACAGGCACAUAUACAUUUUGAUGGGAAAGUGUAACCUUAGUAAACAAUCUAGAGGUUAAGAGGUCAUAACUGAAGUAUACGUGAAUGGAAAAUCUUUUCUCUCUCUUUCUCUACUAAAUAAACUAAAUAUGCAGCUUAACUGGUUUCA
ensembl:lncRNA